CAUGUAGGCGGCAUGACAAGUCUGGUGUGAAAUAUCUCGGCUCAACCGAGAAAACGCACUGGAAACUGUCAAGCUUGAGUAUCGGAGGGGAAGCUAGAAUUCCUGGUGUAGGGGUGAAAUCUGUAGAUAUCAGGAAGAAUACCGGCGGCGAAGGCGAGCUUCUGGCCAGAUACUGACGCUGAGAUGCGAAAGCGUGGGGAGCGAACAGGAUUAGAUACCCUGGUAGUCC
rnacentral:rRNA from 1 species